UACGGGGGGGGCAAGCGUUGUUCGGAAUUACUGGGCGUAAAGGGCUCGUAGGCGGCCAACUAAGUCAGACGUGAAAUCCCCAGGCUCAACCUGGAACUGCGUCUGAUACUGGAUGGCUUGAAUCCGGGAGAGGGAUGCAGAAUUCCAGGUGUAGCGGUGAAAUGCGUAGAUAUCUGGAGGAAUACCGGUGGCGAAGGCGGCAUCCUGGACCGGCAUUGACGCUGAGGAGCGAAAGCCAGGGGAGCAACGGG
rnacentral:rRNA from 1 species